CACCUUACUUCCUGAAACCCUCGCGGUAGUCGCAGGGUUUAGAGAUCACUGAAACUCCUUCACUCUGCUCCUACCCGAUUAACCAUUGUCUUUCUUCUCUUCAUUUCUUCUCCCCGCUUUCCCAUGCUUUAGCUCCUCUAAACCCCCUAAAUCCACCUUCCAACUGGUUUUACUAAAUUAGGAUUUCAAGCUAAAAAGAAGGAGAAAGGGAUCACAAUUAGAGCUAGCUAGGAUUUUUCUAACCCCGAAACCAUGGCCUUCGUGAUCGAAACCUCGCUAUUCCUGGGAAGGCGACGACGGGAUCGCGGCAUGUAGAGACCACCGAAACUCCAUCCUUGUCCUCCUUCCGCUCAGCUGCUACCCGAAACCAGUGAGGAAGCGCUGAAAGUUGCUCUCGUAUGGCUUUUCAGCCGAAGGUAUCCGCCCUAAUCCUGGUUCUAGCUUCUGCUUCCGCCGUACUCAUCCUUUUACUCCUCUUCCCCUCUCUCUCGCCGUCCUGCUCUUGUUCUUCUUCUUCCCUGGAAAUCACCGACAUUGGUGGCCGCGGCGACAACGGAAUGCGGGAACAGAUCGUUCCUACCUCUGAAGAUAUAAAGUGGCUCCGUUCUCAGAUCCACUAUAACUCUCUCCUCGAUCCAUCCGACACCCCCCACGCCUGGCAUUCCCUUCGCAAAGGCAUCAAUCCCCGCAGCCGCGAACAGCAGCUCGACGAUCUCUUGAGAUUCAAGGGCAUUUCACACUACGAAGAUGCAGGAAAAAACCACACAGCUCUGCCUUGCCCGGGUGAGCUGCUGGUGGAGGAGCACCACAGUAACUAUGGGGAACCUUGGGCUGGUGGUCGUGACAUCUUCGAGUUCCUUGCAUCUGCCAUUGCUCUCCAACCCUCUGAUCUUGUACUGGAAGUUGGUUGUGGCACUCUUCGUGUCGGUCUCCACUUCAUCCGGUACCUUGAUUCAGGUCACUAUAAUUGCCUAGAGCGAGAUGAACUCUCACUCCUUGCAGCUCUCCGCUAUGAGCUUCCCUCACAGGGGCUCCUUCAUAAGCGCCCACUCAUCCUUAGAGGGGAUGAUAUGGAUUUUUCCCGAUUUGGAGCUGACAGUUCGUAUGAUUUGAUAUAUUCCAGUGCAGUUUUUCUCCACAUUCCUGAUCAGCUUGUUUGGGUUGGUUUGGAGAAGUUGGCUGCGAAGCUGAAACCAGUGAAAGGGAGGAUCUUUGUUUCACAUAAUAUCAAGUUUUGUUCGAGGAUUAAGGAGGAGUGCCCCAGGAGACUUGAGAGGAUAGGGUUGCAGUAUGUUGGGAAACACACUCAUGAUAGCUUGUUGUUUAAUCAUUAUGAAAUAUGGCACGAAUUCAGAAAGCCUGUAAAAUGAGAUCCACUUUGUAAGCCAUACAGUUUUUAGUGUUGGCUGGUUUUGUUCUCUGGUUCAGGCAGGUGUGUGAAAGCUGAUAAUGUUUCACAUAAGUGAAGCAGACCCUAUGGAGCAGCCAGAACAUUUUGAAUCUGAUCAUAUAUAUAUAUUUCGGUUCUCAUAUCAGCAACAAAGUUGCAAUUUUAUAUGGAGCUCUAGGAAUGAAAUUCUUCCAAUAAUUUCUCCUUGCUCUAGCCGAAGCAUUGAAGAAGGUAUCAAAUUAACAUUUUGUGCUUUUUGAUAGUAUCAUUUAAGAAGAUUUGUGAUCACCAGCCUUGCUUUAGCAGAUUUAUUUCCUCUUUAGCAACUUGUUGCAAUUUUUUUAUUUGGCACAUUUGAUGUAUCAUUACAUGGCACACAAAACAAGAAAUUUUCUUC